rnacentral:rRNA from 1 species
AUUGAACGCUGGCGGCAGGCCUAACACAUGCAAGUCGAGCGAGCGGCGGACGGGUGAGUAAUGUAUGGGGACUGCCCGAUAGAGGGGGAUAACUACUGGAAACGGUAGCUAAUACCGCAUACUAUCGGAUAACCCAUAUGGGAUUAGCUAGUAGGUGAGGUAAUGGCUCACCUAGGCGACGAUCCCUAGCUGGUCUGAGAGGAUGAUCAGCGACAAUGGGACUGAGACAAGGCCCAAACUCCUACGGAGGCAGCAGUGGGGAAUAUUGCUCAAUGGGCGCGAGCCUGAUGCAGCCAUGGCGCGUGCAUGAAGUAGGUCUUAGGGUUGUAAAGCACGUUUAGUCGGGAGGCGUUACCGUCAGAAGAAGUACCGGCUAACUCCGUGCCAGCAGCCGCGGUAAUUC